UAGGGAAUUUUCGGCAAUGGGGGAAACCCUGACCGAGCAAUGCCGCGUGAAUGAAGAAGGUCUUCGGACUGUAAAAUUCUGUUAUUUGUGGAAGAAAGGUAGUUGGAGGAAAUGCCAAUUACUUGACGGUACCAAAUGAGAAAGCCCCGGCUAACUAUGUGCCAGCAGCCGCGGUAAUACAUAGGGGGCGAGCGUUAUCCGGAAUUAUUGGGCGUAAAGCGUGCGUAGGUGGUCAGUUAAGUCUGGCGUGAAAUUCCCUGGCUUAACCAGGGGGGGUCGUUGGAAACUGGUUGACUUGAAUCCAGAAGGGGUAAGUGGAAUUCCAUGUGUAGCGGUAAAAUGCAUAGAGAUAUGGAGGAACACCAGUGGCGAAGGCGGCUUACUGGUCUGGGAUUGACACUGAGGCACGAAAGCGUGGGUAGCAAACAGG
rnacentral:rRNA from 2 species